rnacentral:lncRNA from 1 species
UCGAUCCAGAGAGAUCUUCCGUUAAAACCACUAGAGAUGAAUCCCUGCGAGAAACUUUUGAAGAGACAGCCAUAGAUCUUGACGGAACGCCUUCGUUAAAAAAGCUCUGACUUGACUAAAUCUGAACUGACUCACCUCCGCUUCAUCAUCGUCUCUGAUUCCUCAUCCUUCAGGAGACUUCACUUAAUCCACUGCAAGUGAAGAUUGAUUCGUCACCAGAUGGAGAUCUGAGCGUAUCCAGCCGAGAAAACAUAAAGACCCUCAAAAUCAAAACACAUCAGAGAGUUU